rnacentral:rRNA from 1 species
AUUGAACGCUGGCGGCAGGCCUAACACAUGCAAGUCGAGCGGAGCGGCGGACGGGUGAGUAAUGCCUCGGGAUCGGCCUGGUAGUGGGAGAUAAAGUAGGGAAACGGGCGCCAAUAACGCCUGCUAUCAGAUGAGCCUAGGUCGUAGUGUCUAGUGGGUGGGGUAAAGGCCUACCAAGUCGACGAUCCGUAACUGGUCUGAGAGGAUGAUCAGUAACACUGGAACUGAGACACGGUCCAGACUCCUACGGGAGGCAGCAGUGGGGAAUAUUGGACAAUGGGCGAAAGCCUGAUCCAGCCAUGCCGCGUGUGUUAAGAAGGUCUUCGGAUUGUAAAGCACUUUAAGUUGGGAGGCGUUACCAACAGAAUAAGCACCGGCUAACUUCGUGCCAGCAGCCGCGGUAAUAC